rnacentral:misc_RNA from 1 species
GUAGGUGAACCUGCGGAAGGAUCAUUAACACGUGACUUUCACGUUUUAACACUCACCGAGAACUGUUGUAUCCCCUGUUGUAGAACAUAGGUGGACUGAGAGUGGAAUGGUGUGAGAUUUAUCUCUUCCUCCCAGACCUACGAUAGUUCGACUAUCAGCCAUUGUCUACAAACAGAAGAUGAAUUGCGGCUGCUUAUUAAGCCUGCACCUUGGCUUGCAGUCCGUGGUGACCUUAUUCACCCCUUUUACU